rnacentral:rRNA from 1 species
CCUACGGGAGGCAGCAGUGGGGAAUAUUGCACAAUGGGGGAAACCCUGAUGCAGCGACGCCGCGUGAGUGAAGAAGUAUCUCGGUACGUAAAGCUCUAUCAGCAGGGAAGAAAAUGACGGUACCUGACUAAGAAGCCCCGGCUAACUACGUGCCAACAGCCGCGGUAAUACGUAGGGGGCAAGCGUUAUCCGGAUUUACUGGGCGUAAAGGGAGCGUAGACGGGAGCACAAGUCUGGAGUGAAAUCCCGGGGCUUAACCCCGGAACUGCUUUGGAAACUGUGCGGCUGGAGUGCAGGAGGGGUAAGCGGAAUUCGUAGUGUAGCGGUGAAAUGCGUAGAUAUUAGGAAGAACACCGGUGGCGAAGGCAGCUUACUGGACUGUAACUGACGUUGAGGCUCGAAAGCGUGGGGAGCAAACAGGAUUAGAUACCCGGGUAGUC